rnacentral:rRNA from 1 species
UACGGGGGGAGCAAGCGUUGUUCGGAUUUACUGGGCGUAAAGGGCGCGUAGGCGGCCUCUGCAAGUCGACUGUGAAAUCUCCGGGCUUAACCCGGAAAGGUCAGCCGAUACUGCAGGGCUAGAGUGCAGAAGGGGCAACUGGAAUUCUCGGUGUAGCGGUGAAAUGCGUAGAUAUCGAGAGGAACACCUGCGGCGAAGGCGGGUUGCUGGGCUGACACUGACGCUGAUGCGCGAAAGCCAGGGGAGCGAACGGG